GUGCCAGCAGCCGCGGUAAUACAGAGGCCAAGAGCGUUGUUCGGAUUUACUGGGCGUAAAGGGCACGUAGGCGGUCUUGCGUGUCAAGUGUGAAAUCUCCGGGCCCAACCCGGAAAGUGCGCUUGAAACUACAGGACUCGAGUCUGGGAGAGGGAAUCGGAAUAUAGGGUGUAGCGGUGAAAUGCGUUGAUAUCCUAUAGAACACCGGAGGCGAAGGCGGAUUCCUUGAACGGUACUGACGCUGAGGCGCGAAAGUCGGGGGAGCAAACAGGAUUAGAUACCCUGGUAGUCCCGACCUUAAACGGUGCACACUCGGGGUGGGGCCAUUUCACCGGUCCCGUCCCUUAGCUAACGCGUUAAGUGUGCCGCCUGGGGAGUACGGCCGCAAGGCUAAAACUCAAAGAAAUUGACGGGGGCCCGCACAAGCAGAGGAGCAUGUGGCUUAAUUCGAUGCAACGCGAAGAACCUUACCUGGAUUUGACAUCGUGGGCAAAGGCCUAUGAAAGUAGGCUGGAGGUUAUCCCAUAGACAGGUGCUGCAUGGCUGUCGUCAGUUCGUGCCGUGAGGUGUUUGGUUAAGUCCACCAACGAACGCAACCCCUUUGGUAUGUUGCCAUCAGGUAAAGCUGGGAACUCGUACCAUACUGCCUGUUUACGCAGGAGGAAGGUGGGGAUGACGUCAAGUCAGUAUGGCCCUUACAUCCAGGGCUGCACACGUGCUACAAUGGCCGGUACAGAGGGACGCGAGACCGCAAGGUGGAGCCAAUCCCAGAGAGCCGGCCUCAGUUCAGAUUCGGGUCUGCAACCCGACCCCGUGAAGUCGGAUUUGGCUUAGUAACGGCGUAUCAGCUACGACGCCGUGAAUGCGUUCCCGGGCCUUGUACACACCGCCCGU
rnacentral:rRNA from 1 species